rnacentral:misc_RNA from 1 species
UAAUAAGUGUUUAUGGCACUUCUUAAAUCCAUAUCCACCUUGUGUGCAAUGUCAGCUCGAUUUCUUUAUGAAGAUCGCCCAAACAUCAACUUAUUUUUUAACUGUCUGUCUGAAAACUAUUAUGAAUAAACAAUUCAAAUA